rnacentral:lncRNA from 1 species
CUCACUCUGCCACCCAGACAGGAGUGCAGUGGUGCAAUGUCAGCUCGGUGCAACCUCUGCUUCCUGGGUUCAAGUGAUUCUUAUGCCUCAGCCUCCUGAGUAGCUGGGAUUAUAGGCACCUGCCAUCAUGCCUGGCUAAUUUUUGUAUUUUCAGUAAAGAUGGGGUUUCACCAUUCUGGCCAGGCUUGUUUUGAACUCCUGACCUCAAGUGAUCCACCUGCCUUGGCCUCCCAAAGUGCUGGGAUUACAGGCAUGAGCCACUGCAUCAGGCCUGGAUCAGCAUUUUAAAGAUGGCGUCACAAUGGCAAAGAAACCAGUCAGUGCUUUGUGAUCCUCCGCCCAGUACAGGCACAGCAGGGCAUCCAGAGAAGAUAGGAGUCCCAAGUUGACACCUGCCACAUUCUUGGCUCAGAACAGCUGUGGCUGGGAAGGUCCAUGGGCCAGGGAGCGGGUGAUGAAGGACUUCAGCAUCUUUAUCAGCGCCCCCCCACACAGACGGCAGCUGCGGCCUAGCCCCCAGGCUUCACUUGGCGUGGACAACUUGCUAAGUAAAGUGGGGGGUGGGCCACGGCUGGCUCCUACCUGGACAGGCCUCCAGCUAACUCCGGGCUUGCACAGCAAAUACAAGAAAAAAAGAAACAGAAAAAUCAGUUCAUGUGCCCUUUCCUGACUUCUCCUGGCACCUACAGCCCUGACUGCAGAGAUGGUCCCGUGGUCCCAAGACAGAGGCUGGAGAAGUGAGUGGAGCCAAGAGGCAGAAAGAUCUCAGUAAUUUGGAAAAAAUUCCCAACUGGGUGCAGCUGGCUACACCUUUUCUUCCCCAGCAUCCUAAAGAGGAAAUUUCAAGAAAGCCCUGUAUUCCAGCACAGGAAGCAGGAAUGUCUUAAGCCACACUGCGCUGUUUCUGCUGGAGACAUCUCCCUGCUCUCAAACCUUCCUUCACUGAUGAAGAACAUGAGUCUUAGAGAAGUCAAAGAAGUUGCCUAAGGUCACAUGAGCAGUGAGCAGAGGAGUUGCUUACCUUUGUUAGACUCCAAAUCCUGUGUGACUAUGAAACUCAUUAACUGAAACAACCCGGCACCUUUGGACCUGUGCAGGCAAAGGCAAGGGAGUUGACCAGGAGCACACAGCACAGACGAGAACAGUCCCAAAGCCUUUUGCUGUAUCCCAUCUGUGCAAACCACUCCCAAUAAACAAACAAACAC